rnacentral:rRNA from 1 species
CAGCAUGAACUUAGCUUGCUAAGUUUGAUGGCAACCGGCGCACGGGUGAGUAACACGUAUCCAACCUGCCGAUGACUCGGGGAUAGCCUUUCGAAAGAAAGAUUAAUACCCGAUGGCAUAGUUCUUCCGCAUGGUAGAACUAUUAAAGAAUUUCGGUCAUCGAUGGGGAUGCGUUCCAUUAGGUUGUUGGCGGGGUAACGGCCCACCAAGCCUUCGAUGGAUAGGGGUUCUGAGAGGAAGGUCCCCCACAUUGGAACUGAGACACGGUCCAAACUCCUACGGGAGGCAGCAGUGAGGAAUAUUGGUCAAUGGACGAGAGUCUGAACCAGCCAAGUAGCGUGAAGGAUGACUGCCCUAUGGGUUGUAAACUUCUUUUAUACGGGAAUAAAGUGAGGCACGUGUGCCUUUUUGUAUGUACCGUAUGAAUAAGGAUCGGCUAACUCCGUGCCAGCAGCCGCGGUAAUACGGAGGAUCCGAGCGUUAUCCGGAUUUAUUGGGUUUAAAGGGAGCGUAGGCGGACGCUUAAGUCAGUUGUGAAAGUUUGCGGCUCAACCGUAAAAUUGCAGUUGAUACUGGGUGUCUUGAGUACAGUAGAGGCAGGCGGAAUUCGUGGUGUAGCGGUGAAAUGCUUAGAUAUCACGAAGAACUCCGAUUGCGAAGGCAGCCUGCUGGACUGUA